AUUGAACGCUGGCGGCAGGCCUAACACAUGCAAGUCGAGCGGAGCGGCAGACGGGUGAGGAAUGCCUAGGAAUCUGCAUGGUAGUGGGGGAUGACGUCCGGCAACGGGCGCUAAUGCCGCAUACUAUCAGAUGAGCCUAGGUCGGAUUAGGUAGUUGGUGGGGUAAAGGCCUACAAAGGCGACGAUCCGUAACUGGUCUGGGAGGAUGAUCAGUCACACUGGAACUGAGACACGGUCCAGACUCCUACGGGAGGCAGCAGUGGGGAAUAUUGGACAAUGGGCGAAAGCCGGAUCCAGCCAUGCCGCGUGUGUGAAGAAGGUCUUCGGAUUGUAAAGCACUUUAAGUUGGGAGGCGUGACCCACAGAAUAAGCACCGGCUAACUUCGUGCCAGCAGCCGCGGUAAUUC
rnacentral:rRNA from 1 species